UUACACUCAUUUUUCUGAUGGAGGAGAGUGUCUUUUCUGGGAGUGAAGUCAAUUGCCAAAGGCUGUUCUAACUGCCCCUGGAAGAGCUGCAGGGUGGACCCAGGCACUGUUCCCAUUGGCAUCCUGGGUCUCCUCCUGCUGGCUCUGUGCUACCUUUGCAGGUAUGGAUUCAGAUAAUGGGGACUAUAGGACAAAAGACUCUUCCAAAGCCAGGAUCUCAGCCCUGAAAUCACAGGAUGAGGAAGCAACUCUAUGUCCAUCAGCCAGUGAAUGGAUAAACUGACACAUCCACACAACUGAAUAGCACUCAGCAAUAAAGACGAACAAAUUAUUGAUACAAGCAAUGACUCGGAUGAAAUGGAAAUACAUUUUGCUAAAUGAAAGAAGCUAGACUCAACAGCCUGAAUACUAUGUAAGUCCAUUCAUAUGGCAUUCUGGAAAAGGCAAAAUUACAGAGACAAAAAAAAAAACGCACAGUGUUUGCUGGGGCCUAGGGUUAGAGGAGGGGGUUGAUAAGCAAAGGGUGGCAGAAAUGUUCUAGAUCUUGAUUGCAGUGGUAGUUAAAUGACAGUAUGUGUUUUUCUAAACUCACAGAACUAUACACAAAAAGAGUGUGAAUUUUACUGCAUGUAACUUUAACCUCAAUUAACUUGACUCCAAAUAAAGUAAAUAUGUAUCAUGUAGUGAUGACAGGCUCUGUUAGGAACAGUGACAGGGACACUGGGUCUGGCUGACCUGGAGAAUGCAAGCCAUCAGUCUAAGCAGUUCUUCUGGAAGAACAUUUAUCUGCUCACCUGUUUUUUUCCCUUGCCUCAUUCCUUUUUACUGAUCCUCAGCCCCAGCUCUGCAGAACAACUCCAACUUAACUGUAUACAGUACCACCUGCCACCCAAUCCCCUUCUAGGGUUUGGGCCACUUGGAAGAGAGGCCUCCCCAUACCUGCCCCAAGCCCAGAUAGGGAUCCUUUGUGCAUAGGGAGAGGAGAACCAGAUUACAGACUGAACUGGCAAGGGUGAGUCACGCUGGCUCCCAGCAGGCAUGGGUGAUGGAAAUGGAAGUCAGUGCAUAAAAGUCACAGAAAGCGGCCGGGCGCAGCGGCUCAC
rnacentral:lncRNA from 10 species